CGUAGGGUCCAAGCGUUAAUCGGAAUUACUGGGCGUAAAGCGUGCGCAGGCGGUUGUGCAAGACCGAUGUGAAAUCCCCGGGCUUAACCUGGGAAUUGCAUUGGUGACUGCACGGCUAGAGUGUGUCAGAGGGGGGUAGAAUUCCACGUGUAGCAGUGAAAUGCGUAGAGAUGUGGAGGAAUACCGAUGGCGAAGGCAGCCCCCUGGGAUAACACUGACGCUCAUGCACGAAAGCGUGGGGAGCAAACAGGAUUAGAUACCCUGGUAGUCCGCGCCCUAAACGAUGUCAACUAGUUGUUGGGGAUUCAUUUCCUUAGUAACGUAGCUAACGCGUGAAGUUGACCGCCUGGGGAGUACGGUCGCAAGAUUAA
rnacentral:rRNA from 1 species